rnacentral:rRNA from 1 species
CCUACGGGUGGCUGCAGUAGGGAAUAUUGGGCAAUGGAGGCAACUCUGACCCAGCCAUGCCGCGUGCAGGAAGAAGGCGCUCCGCGUUGUAAACUGCUUUUGUCGGGGAAGAAACGACCCCUGCGGGGGGCAUUGACGGUACCCGAUGAAUAAGCACCGGCUAACUCCGUGCCAGCAGCCGCGGUAAUACGGAGGGUGCAAGCGUUGUCCGGAUUUAUUGGGUUUAAAGGGUGCGCAGGCGGGGGGGUCAGUCCGCGGUGAAAGACGAUCGCUCA